rnacentral:rRNA from 1 species
GAUGAACGCUGGCGGCGUGCCUAAUACAUGCGAGUCGAGCGAACGGACGAGAAGCUUGCUUCUCUGAUGUUAGCGGCGGACGGGUGAGUAACACGUGGAUAACCUACCUAUAAGACUGGGAUAACUUCGGGAAACCGGAGCUAAUACCGGAUAAUAUUUUGAACCGCAUGGUUCAAAAGUGAAAGACGGUCUUGCUGUCACUUAUAGAUGGAUCCGCGCUGCAUUAGCUAGUUGGUAAGGUAACGGCUUACCAAGGCAACGAUGCAUAGCCGACCUGAGAGGGUGAUCGGCCACACUGGAACUGAGACACGGUCCAGACUCCUACGGGAGGCAGCAGUAGGGAAUCUUCCGCAAUGGGCGAAAGCCUGACGGAGCAACGCCGCGUGAGUGAUGAAGGUCUUCGGAUCGUAAAACCCUGUUAUUAGGGAAGAACAUAUGUGUAAGUAACUGUGCACAUCUUGACGGUACCUAAUCAGAAAGCCACGGCUAACUACGUG